AUGUGGCAUCAUCAAGGAAUCCAAAUACCUGAGCAAGCAGCCUCCAAACUAGCAACACUCGAAUCUAAUGAUAGUCAAUCAGACAUCAUUAGAGCAGCAGCAAAGGAAGCUAGGCGGAAAAGGAAAGAGAUCCUCAAGCUGAAAAAGGCAAGCAAACGACUAAGGACAGAAAAGGGCAAUGACUGUGAAGUAUCUCAUGUAGCGAAGGAUGUCACUCAAAUUUCAUAUCUGGGAAAACCAAAUUGUGUUUGUGAAUUUUGCAAUGCCAUUAUGUGGCAUGGAGAGAGAAGCACAAGCACAGGUAACAUCACAGUUCCAAAAUUUGGUCUCUGCUGCAAGGAAGGGAAAGUUAACUUACCACCACUGAAACAAGCUCCGCUGUAUCUCCGACAGCUACUACGUUACAAUGAAAGAGGAGAAUCAUCAAAUUUCUGCAAGAACAUCAGGUUGUACAACUCGAUGUUCGCAUUCACUUCAAUGGGAGGAAAGGUUGACUAUGAAAUUAAUAAGCAGGCAUCUGGACCGUAUGUUUUCCAUUUGAAUGGCCAGAAUUACCAUCAGAUUGGCACUUUACUUCCUAAAGAUGACGUGACGAAGCCAAAAUUUUCCCAAUUGUACAUACAUGACACAGAAAAUGAAGUGCGGAAUAGGAUUAAUGCAUCUGCUUCAAUGGAGAGUAAGACACAACCAGAUGAAAACAUUGUCAAAGGACUACUGGAGAUGCUUGAUGAGCACAAUGUUUUAGUCAAAUCAUUUCGUAUGGCAAGGGACAGAUUCCAAAACCGACGUAUUAAAGAUGUAAGACUAAGAUUGAUCAACAAAAGGUCGAAAGAUGGACGGCAAUAA
rnacentral:rRNA from 1 species